rnacentral:rRNA from 1 species
AUUGAACGCUGGCGGCAGGCCUAACACAUGCAAGUCGAACGAGUGGCGGACGGGUGAGUAAUGUCUGGGAAACUGCCUGAUGGUGGGGGAUAACUACUGGAAACGGUAGCUAAUACCGCAUACCAUCAGAUGUGCCCAAAUGGGAUUAGCUUGUUGGUGGGGUAACGGCUCACCAAGGCGACGAUCCCUAGCUGGUCUGAGCGGAUGCCCGCCCAAACUGGAACUGAGACACGGUCCAGCCUCCUCCGGGAGGCACAAUUGGGGAAUAUUGGACAAUGGGCGCACGCCUGCUGCAGCCAUGCCGGGUGUAUGAAGAAGGCCUUCGGGUUGUAAAGUCCGUUCAGCGGGGAGGCGUUACCCGCAGAAGAAGCACCGGCUAACUCCGUGCCAGCCGCCGCGGUAAUAC